rnacentral:rRNA from 1 species
ACCAGACGAUGCGGUUACCGCGGCUGCUGGCACGGAGUUAGCCGGUGCUUCUUCUGUGAGUGAUGUCCUUCCUGCCGGCUAUUAACCCGCAGGCCUUCUUCCUCACUGAAAGUGCUUUACAACCCGAAGGCCUUCUUCACACACGCGGCAUGGCUGGAUCAGGGUUGCCCCCAUUGUCCAAUAUUCCCCACUGCUGCCUCCCGUAGGAGUCUGGGCCGUGUCUCAGUCCCAGUGUGGCUGAUCAUCCUCUCAGACCAGCUACGGAUCGUCGCCUUGGUGAGCCGUUACAUCACCAACCAGCUAAUCCGACAUAGGCUCAUCCGAUAGCGCGAGGCCCGAAGGUCCCCCGCUUUCCCCCGUAGGGCGUAUGCGGUAUUAGCCUGGGUUUCCCCAGGUUAUCCCCCACUACCGGGCAGAUUCCUAUGCAUUACUCACCCGUCCGCCGCUCGCCACCAGGGAGCAAGCUCCCCGUGCUGCCGCUCGACUUGCAUGUGUUAGGCCUGCCGCCAGCGUUCAA